GACGAACGCUGGCGGCGUGCCUAAUACAUGCAAGUCGAGCGAAGUUUUUCUGGUGCUUGCACUAGAAAAACUUAGCGGCGAACGGGUGAGUAACACGUAAAGAACCUGCCUCAUAGACUGGGACAACUAUUGGAAACGAUAGCUAAUACCGGAUAACAGUAUUUCUCGCAUGAGAGAUAUUUAAAAGUUGGUUAUGCUAACACUAUGAGAUGGCUUUGCGGUGCAUUAGCUAGUUGGUGGGGUAAAGGCCCACCAAGGCGACGAUGCAUAGCCGACCUGAGAGGGUGAUCGGCCACACUGGGACUGAGACACGGCCCAGACUCCUACGGGAGGCAGCAGUAGGGAAUCUUCCGCAAUGGGCGAAAGCCUGACGGAGCAACGCCGCGUGAGUGAAGAAGGAUUUCGGUUCGUAAAGCUCUGUUGUUAGGGAAGAAUGGAUAUGUAGUACUAUACAUGUAAGAGACGGUACCUAACCAGAAAGCCACGGCUAACUACGUG
rnacentral:rRNA from 1 species